GACGGGGGGGGCAAGUGUUCUUCGGAAUGACUGGGCGUAAAGAGCUCGUAGGCGGUCUGUCACGUCGGCUGUGAAAACCCGAGGCUCAACCUCGGGCCUGCAGUCGAUACGGGCAGACUAGAGUUCGGUAGGGGAGACUGGAAUUCCUGGUGUAGCGGUGAAAUGCGCAGAUAUCAGGAGGAACACCGGUGGCGAAGGCGGGUCUCUGGGCCGAAACUGACGCUGAGGAGCGAAAGCGUGGGGAGCGAACAGG
rnacentral:rRNA from 1 species